rnacentral:rRNA from 1 species
UACGGAGGGUGCGAGCGUUAAUCGGAAUUACUGGGCGUAAAGCGCGCGUAGGCGGUUUGUUAAGUCAGCUGUGAAAGCCCCGGGCUUAACCUGGGAAUGGCAGUUGAUACUGGCGAGCUAGAGUGUGGUAGAGGGGUGUGGAAUUUCCGGUGUAGCAGUGAAAUGCGUAGAGAUCGGAAGGAACACCAGUGGCGAAGGCGGCACCCUGGACCAACACUGACGCUGAGGUGCGAAAGCGUGGGGAGCAAACAGG